rnacentral:rRNA from 1 species
GGAAUAUUGGUCAAUGGGCGAAAGCCUGAACCAGCAACGCCGCGUGCGCGAUGAAGGCCUUCGGGUCGUAAAGCGCUUUUGGGUGGGAUGAAAAUGACAGUACCUCCCGAAUAAGGAUCGGCUAACUACGUGCCAGCAGCCGCGGUAAGACGUAGGAUCCAAGCGUUAUCCGGAAUUACUGGGCGUAAAGGGCGUGUAGGAGGUUGGGCAAGUCGGCCAUGAAAGCUCCCGGCUCAACUGGGAGAGGCUGGUCGAUACUGCCUGGCUAGAGGGCAAGAGAGGGAGGUGGAAUUCCCGGUGUAGUGGUGAAAUGCGUAGAUAUCGGGAGGAACACCAGUGGCGAAGGCGGCCUCCUGGCUUGUACCUGACUCUGAAACGCGAAAGCAUGGGUAGCAAACAGGAUUAGAAACCCUGGUAGUCCAUGCCAUAAACGAUGUCAACUGGGUGUCGGCGAAGUAAAAUUUGUCGGUGCCGAAGCUAACGCGUUAAGUUGACCGCCUGAGGACUACGAUCGCAAGAUUAAAACUCAAAUGAAUUGACGG